CCUACGGGAGGCAGCAGUAAGGAAUAUUGGUCAAUGGACGAAAGUCUGAACCAGCCAUGCCGCGUGAAGGAUGAAGGUCCUCUGGAUUGUAAACUUCUUUUAUAGGGGACGAAAAAAGGGAAUUCUUUCUCACUUGACGGUACCCUAGGAAUAAGCACCGGCUAACUCCGUGCCAGCAGCCGCGGUAAUACGGAGGGUGCAAGCGUUAUCCGGAUUCACUGGGUUUAAAGGGAGCGUAGGUGGGCAGGUAAGUCAGUGGUGAAAUCUCCGGGCUUAACCCGGAAACUGCCAUUGAUACUAUCUGUCUUGAAUUAUCUGGAGGUAAGCGGAAUAUGUCAUGUAGCGGUGAAAUGCUUAGAUAUGACAUAGAACACCCAUUGCGAAGGCAGCUUACUACGGAUAUAUUGACACUGAGGCUCGAAAGCGUGGGGAUCAAACAGGAUUAGAUACCCUGGUAGUCCACGCCCUAAACGAUGGAUACUCGACAUCAGCGAUACACUGUUGGUGUCUGAGCGAAAGCAUUAAGUAUCCACCUGGAGUACGACCGCAAGUUGAACUCAAAUGAAUUGACGG
rnacentral:rRNA from 1 species